AUAUCAUUAGCAUAUUAGGCUUUGAUUGGUUGAAUGGCUGACCAGUCGACCAGACACUUAGCAUACUAGGCUUUUAUUAUAUAAGAUGUAUUUUUGGAAUAGGGAGAUGGAAUAGGAGCUUGCUCCAUCCACUGCAUGCAUCAACCGGGUACUGCAGUACCUCCGGGAAUGUUGCACACACA
rfam:Myotis brandtii contig213649, whole genome shotgun sequence.